UUAAGUGACUAAGCGUACACGGUGGAUGCCUUGGCAGUCAGAGGCGAUGAAGGACGUAUUAACUUGCGAUAAGCCCAGAUUAGGUAGUAAAAACCAUUUGAGUCUGGGAUUUCCGAAUGGGGAAACCCACUAGCAUAAGCUAGUAUCGCUGCGUGAAUACAUAGCGCAGCGAGGCGAACCGGGGGAACUGAAACAUCUAAGUACCCCGAGGAAAAGAAAUCAACCGAGAUUCCGAAAGUAGCGGCGAGCGAAAUUGGACUAGCCCUUAAGCUUUUUAUGCGUCAGGGGAAACUUCUGGAAAGUUGUGCGAUACAGGGGGAUAGCCCCGUAACCGGCAACGCAUUUAAAGUGAAAUCGAGUAGGGCGGGACACGUGAUAUCCUGUCUGAAUAUGGGGGGACCAUCCUCCAAGGCUAAAUACUACUGACUGACCGAUAGUGAACCAGUACCGUGAGGGAAAGGCGAAAAGAACCCCUGUGAGGGGAGUGAAAUAGAACCUGAAACCGUGUACGUACAAGCAGUAGGAGCACCUUCGUGGUGUGACUGCGUACCUUUUGUAUAAUGGGUCAGCGACUUAUAUUCAGUGGCAAGGUUAACCAUCUAGGGGAGCCGUAGGGAAACCGAGUCUUAACUGGGCGUUCAGUCUCUGGAUAUAGACCCGAAACCAGGUGAUCUAGCCAUGGGCAGGUUGAAGGUUGAGUAACAUCAACUGGAGGACCGAACCGACUAAUGUUGAAAAAUUAGCGGAUGACUUGUGGCUAGGGGGGAAAGGCCAAUCAAACCUGGAGAUAGCUGGUUCUCCCCGAAAGCUAUUUAGGUAGCGCCUCGGACGAAUACUACUGGGGGUAGAGCACUGUUAAGGCUAGGGGGUCAUCCCGACUUACCAACCCUUUGCAAACUCCGAAUACCAGUAAGUACUAUCCGGGAGACACACGGCGGGUGCUAACGUCCGUCGUGGAGAGGGAAACAACCCAGACCGCCAGCUAAGGUCCCAAAUUACUACUAAGUGGGAAACGAUGUGGGAAGGCUCAGACAGCCAGGAUGUUGGCUUAGAAGCAGCCAUCAUUUAAAGAAAGCGUAAUAGCUCACUGGUCGAGUCGGCCUGCGCGGAAGAUGUAACGGGGCUAAGUAGUAAACCGAAGCUGCGGCAAUGCACUUUAGUGCAUUGGGUAGGGGAGCGUUCUGUAAGCGGUUGAAGGUGUGUGGUAACGCAUGCUGGACGUAUCAGAAGUGCGAAUGCUGACAUGAGUAACGAUAAAGGGGGUGAAAAACCUCCUCGCCGGAAGACCAAGGGUUCCUGUCCAACGUUAAUCGGGGCAGGGUAAGUCGACCCCUAAGGCGAGGCCGAAAGGCGUAGUCGAUGGGAAACGGGUUAAUAUUCCCGUACUUCUUACAAUUGCGAUGGGGGGACGGAGAAGGCUAGGUGGGCCUGGCGACGGUUGUCCAGGUUCAAGUGCGUAGGCUUAAGAGUUAGGUAAAUCCGGCUCUUUUUAAGGCUGAGACACGACGUCGAGCUACUACGGUAGUGAAGUCAUUGAUGCCAUGCUUCCAGGAAAAGCCUCUAAGCUUCAGAUUGUAAGGAAUCGUACCCCAAACCGACACAGGUGGUCGGGUAGAGAAUACCAAGGCGCUUGAGAGAACUCGGGUGAAGGAACUAGGCAAAAUGGUACCGUAACUUCGGGAGAAGGUACGCUCUCGACGGUGAAGUCCCUUGCGGAUGGAGCUAUUGAGAGUCGCAGAUACCAGGUGGCUGCAACUGUUUAUUAAAAACACAGCACUGUGCAAAAUCGUAAGAUGACGUAUACGGUGUGACGCCUGCCCGGUGCCGGAAGGUUAAUUGAUGGGGUUAGACUUCGGUCGAAGCUCUUGAUCGAAGCCCCGGUAAACGGCGGCCGUAACUAUAACGGUCCUAAGGUAGCGAAAUUCCUUGUCGGGUAAGUUCCGACCUGCACGAAUGGCGUAAUGAUGGCCACGCUGUCUCCACCCGAGACUCAGUGAAAUUGAAAUCGCUGUGAAGAUGCAGUGUACCCGCGGCUAGACGGAAAGACCCCGUGAACCUUUACUACAGCUUGGCACUGAACAUUGACCCUACAUGUGUAGGAUAGGUGGGAGGCUUUGAAGCACAGUCGCUAGAUUGUGUGGAGCCGUCCUUGAAAUACCACCCUUGUAGUGUUGAUGUUCUAACGUUGACCCCUAAUCGGGGUUGCGGACAGUGCCUGGUGGGUAGUUUGACUGGGGCGGUCUCCUCCCAAAGCGUAACGGAGGAGCACGAAGGUGGGCUAAUCACGGUUGGACAUCGUGAGGUUAGUGCAAUGGCAUAAGCCCGCUUGACUGCGAGAAUGACGGUUCGAGCAGGUGCGAAAGCAGGUCAUAGUGAUCCGGUGGUUCUGAAUGGAAGGGCCAUCGCUCAACGGAUAAAAGGUACUCCGGGGAUAACAGGCUGAUACCGCCCAAGAGUUCAUAUCGACGGCGGUGUUUGGCACCUCGAUGUCGGCUCAUCACAUCCUGGGGCUGAAGUCGGUCCCAAGGGUAUGGCUGUUCGCCAUUUAAAGUGGUACGCGAGCUGGGUUUAGAACGUCGUGAGACAGUUCGGUCCCUAUCUGCCGUGGGCGUUGGAAGAUUGAAGGGGGCUGCUCCUAGUACGAGAGGACCGGAGUGGACGAACCUCUGGUGUUCGGGUUGUGUCGCCAGACGCAUUGCCCGGUAGCUAAGUUCGGAAUCGAUAACCGCUGAAAGCAUCUAAGCGGGAAGCGAGCCCUGAGAUGAGUCUUCCCUGAUACUUUAAGUAUCCUAAAGGGUUGUUCGAGACUAGAACGUUGAUAGGCAGGGUGUGUAAGCGUUGUGAGGCGUUGAGCUAACCUGUACUAAUUGCCCGUGAGGCUUAACCAU
rnacentral:rRNA from 1 species